rnacentral:pre_miRNA from 9 species
UCUCGAUAGCGUACAAGUUAACACAAUUUGUAUGGGGUUGGAACGUUUGCCUACGUUUACCGCUAGGGGCGCUGUUCCAACUGCAUACAAAUUUGAGUAACUUUUACGCUAUCGA